UACGUAGGGCGCAAGCGUUGUCCGGAAUUAUUGGGCGUAAAGAGCUCGUAGGCGGUCUGUUACGUCCGCUGUGAAAACCCAGGGCUUAACCCUGGGCUUGCAGUGGAUACGGGCAGACUAGAGGCAGGUAGGGGAGAAUGGAAUUCCCGGUGUAGCGGUGAAAUGCGCAGAUAUCGGGAGGAACACCGGUGGCGAAGGCGGCUUCCUGGCCUGUAACUGACGCUGAGACGCGAAAGCGUGGGGAGCGAACCGG
rnacentral:rRNA from 1 species